AUUGAACGCUGGCGGCAGGCCUAACACAUGCAAGUCGAGCGAGCGGCGGACGGGUGAGUGAUGCCUGGGAAUUGCCCAGUCGAGGGGGAUAACAGUUGGAAACGACUGCUAAUACCGCAUACGAUUGGAUUGCCAAGGGGGGAUUAGCUAGUUGGUGGGGUAAUGGCUCACCAAGGCGACGAUCCCUAGCUGGUCUGAGAGGAUGACCAGCCAAACUGGAACUGAGACACGGUCCAGACUCCUACGGGAGGCAGCAGUGGGGAAUAUUGCACAAUGGGGGAAACCCUGAUGCAGCCAUGCCGCGGGUGUGAAGAAGGCCUUCGGGUUGUAAAGCACUUUCAGCUGGGAGGCGUUACCAGCAGAAUAAGCACCGGCUAACUCCGUGCCAGCAGCCGCGGUAAUUC
rnacentral:rRNA from 1 species